rnacentral:rRNA from 1 species
GACGAACGCUGGCGGCGUGCCUAAUACAUGCAAGUAGAACGCUGAAGGAAGGAGCUUGCUCUUUCUGGAUGAGUUGCGAACGGGUGAGUAACGCGUAGGUAACCUGCCUGGUAGCGGGGGAUAACUAUUGGAAACGAUAGCUAAUACCGCAUAAAAUUGAUUAUUGCAUGAUAGUCAAUUAAAAGGUGCAACUGCACCACUACCAGAUGGACCUGCGUUGUAUUAGCUAGUUGGUGGGGUAACGGCUCACCAAGGCGACGAUACAUAGCCGACCUGAGAGGGGGAUCGGCACCGUGGGGACUAGAACACGGCCGAGACCCCGAGGGGAGGCAGCAGAGGGAAAUCUUCGGCAAUGGAGGGAAGUCUAACGGAGCACCGGCGGGGGAGUGAAGAAGUUUUUGGGAGAAAAAGGCUGUUUUGAAAGAGAAAAAGGGGGGGGGGAGGGAAAAUUCCACCUUGGGGGGUUUUCUUACAGGAGGGGGAGGGAAAACACGGGC